ACGGCUCAGUAACACGUGGACAACCUACCCUUAGGACGGGGAUAAACCCGGGAAACUGGGUAUAAUACCCGAUAGUCCUCGGCUGCUGGAAUGCACCGAGUACUAAAGCUCCGGCGCCUAAGGAUGGGUCUGCGGCCUAUCAGGUAGUAGUGGGUGUAGCGUACCUACUAGCCUACGACGGGUACGGGUUGUGAGAGCAAGAGCCCGGAGAUGGAUUCUGAGACACGAAUCCAGGCCCUACGGGGUGCAGCAGGCGCGAAAACUUUACAAUGCUGGCAACAGCGAUAAGGGGACCUCGAGUGCCAGGUUACAAAUCUGGCUGUCGUGAUGCCUAAAAAGCAUUGCAUAGCAAGGGCCGGGCAAGACCGGUGCCAGCCGCCGCGGUAACACCGGCGGCUCGAGUGGUAACCGUUAUUAUUGGGUCUAAAGGGUCUGUAGCCGGCCGGAUAAGUCUCUUGAGAAAUCCAGCAGCUCAACUGUCAGGCUUUCAGGAGAUACUGUCUGGCUCGAGGCCGGGAGAGGUGAGAGGUACUUCAGGGGUAGGGGUGAAAUCUUGUAAUCCUUGAAGGACCACCAGUGGCGAAGGCGUCUCACCAGAACGGACCUGACGGCAAGGGACGAAAGCUAGGGGCACGAACCGGAUUAGAUACCCGGGUAGUCCUAGCCGUAAACGAUACUCGCUAGGUGUCGGCCACGGUGCGACCGUUGUCGGUGCCGUAGGGAAGCCGUGAAGCGAGCCACCUGGGAAGUACGGCCGCAAGGCUGAAACUUAAAGGAAUUGGCGGGGGAGCACCACAACGGGUGGAGCUUGCGGUUUAAUUGGAUUCAACGCCGGG
rnacentral:rRNA from 1 species